AUUGAACGCUGGCGGCAUGCCUUACACAUGCAAGUCGAACGGCAGCACGGGUGCUUGCACCUGGUGGCGAGUGGCGAACGGGUGAGUAAUACAUCGGAACAUGUCCUGUAGUUGGGGAAAGCCCGGCGAAAGCCGGAUUAAUACCGCAUACGAACUACGUAUGAAAGCGGGGGACCUUCGGGCCUCGCGCGAUAGGGUUGGCCGAUGGCUGAUUAGAUAGUGGGUGGGGUAAAGUCCUACCAAGGCGACGAUCAGUAGCUGGUCUGAGAGGACGACCAGCCACACUGGGACUGGGACACGGCCCAGACUCCUACGGGAGGCAGCAGUGGGGAAUUUUGGACAAUGGGCGAAAGCCUGAUCCAGCAAUGCCGCGUGUGUGAAGAAGGCCUUCGGGUUGUAAAGCACUUUUGUCCGGAAAGAAAUCCUUGGCCCUAAUACGGUCGGGGGAUGACGGUACCGGAAGAAUAAGCACCGGCUAACUACGUG
rnacentral:rRNA from 1 species